UUCAUAUCUCACAAUAUACUACAACUCAUUUCUCAAAACACUAAGAAGAAAACACUCUUUAUAUAAGUGGAGUAUUUUUUCUAUCUAGUAAACCUUGAUAUUAUCCACUCCAUCCAGAAUACUUUUCCCAACUGUGAGAUGCACCGAUGACCACACCAUUUGGAAACUCACUGGUAAUGGUCUCUUCAGCUGUAGUAGUGCUAAUAAGUUUAUCUAUAAUUCCCAGCACAACAGUCCCCAUGAUCUGAAUGUUAGAAUCCACUUAAAUUGGCUCUAGCAUCUUAAAAUCCAUCCCAAAAUCAGGUUCUUUCUUAAACUUUUUCUUCACCAAAGACUCCUCUAUAACAGUGCUCUAAACAGGUUGGGCCUAACUAUAAACACUAGCUAUGCAUAUUGCAGCCAUCCCAUGGAAGAUAUUGUGCAUAUCUUCUGGGUAUGCCAUAGGGCUUUCUAGCUCUGGAAUAGCCUUUCCAGCAAAUAUACCCUCCCCUUACCCGCCAGUAUAAACCCUUUGGGAGAUGACAGAUGGGGCACUAUAUGGCGUUGGUAGAAGAACAAGCCUUUGAACCACCUCAUUAGCCUUGAAGUCCUCUUUGUUUUCUGUUUAUGGCAUAUAUGGAAGCACAUAAAUAGUGGCAUCUUCUAUAGUACUAAUACCAUUUCUUUUUGUGAAGAAUCUUAUGGGGAGGCAGUCGAGUUCACUUAUCUCAACAACUUGCACCAUCCUGGAGGUUUAGCCACUACUCCUAUCUCUAUUAGGUGGAAGCCGCCUCUAAUUGAUUUCUACAAACUCAACACUGACGGCUACUCUUUUGGGAACCCAGGAAUUGGAGGCAUUGGUAGAGUAAUAAGGAACAAUAAUGGGAAUUGGGUUUUGGGUUUCUGUAAAGGCUUUCCUGUUGCUAGUAACAAUCAGAUGGAACUAAUUUCACUCCUGGAAGGUCUGUGCUGAGAAGAAUAGAGAGACCAGUGGUGAUGCAUUGCUGCAGGAAACAAAAUUCGGUAGUGGAUGCUCUUGCUAAGGAAGGACCAAUAGGAAAAGCUUUUGGGAGCAUGAAGAUUUUUGCAGUUCCUCCUGUGUAUGUCAUGAAAUAUUUUAGGAAAUACUUACAUUAGGAAUGUUAAACCUUUUCCUAACGGGCAUAUCCCUGCUUGUUUCAUUUUGGGGCCUGACUGAA